rnacentral:rRNA from 1 species
CCUACGGGAGGCUGCAGUGGGGAAUAUUGCACAAUGGGCGCAAGCCUGAUGCAGCGACGCCGCGUGAGCGAUGAAGGCCUUCGGGUCGUAAAGCUCUGUCCUAAGGGAAGAAUAAUGACGGUACCUUAGGAGGAAGCGCCGGCUAACUACGUGACAGCAGCCGCGGUAAUACGUAGGGGGCGAGCGUUAUCCGGAAUCACUGGGCGUAAAGGGUGCGUAGGCGGCCCUGCAAGUCAGGAGUUCAAUCCCUCGGCUCAACCGAGGUCAGCUCUUGAAACUGUAGGGCUUGAGUGCAGGAGAGGAGAGCGGAAUUCAUAGUGUAGCGGUGAAAUGCGUAGAUAUUAGGAGCAACACCAGUCGCGACGGCGGCACCCUGGACUGCAACUGACGCUCAGGCACGAAAGCGUGGGGAGCGAACCGGAUUAGAUACACUUGUAGUC